GUAAGCAUUUUGGGCUUGGGCUCUAGCUUGCGUUAGUCCGCUCAAAGUAAGCAUUUUGGGCUCUAGAUAGCGUCAAUCCGCUCAAGGUAAGCAUUUUGGGCUCUAGAUAGCGUUAGGCUGCUCAAGGUAAGCAUUUUGGGCUCUAGAGGCCGCUCAAGGUAAGCAUUUUGGGCUCUAGAUAGCGUUAGGCCACUCAAGGUAAGAAUUUUAGUUUAGUCUGCCCUGAAAAGGUCUUAUUAAAGACGAAAAUUUGUCAAAGUCGAAUACCAGUUUUUGGGGCAUUGUAUUUAUUCUUCUGGUUUACGAUCACGACUAUUUGGGCCUUGAUGACAUUUCACAAUAUCCAUCUAAAAACAAAGUUUUAUGCUUCAGUCGCCAAAUCCAAACAGCAACACCUCAAAAGGUUCUGCUUAUCAGUCGAUGGAAAUGGAUCCUCUCUCACGCUUAUGAUUCUAAUUCGUUUAUCGUCGAUAACGUGGGGAGUUUCCCAAUCUCCCGAGCUCGGAGAGCUCAUGAUAUAUACACUCAACAUUCCGAUUUAUCUUCGUCUGUGUGUAUGCUAACUAUUUGGGCGCUAGUGAAAAUAAAAACUGUGACGAAGCCAGUACCCUAAGAAUC